CCGGCUGUGCCGGAUGGCUGGAUUGGCUGGUUCUAGUGCGUCCGGACCCGGCUAGGACAGGCCGGGCGGGCUUCGGUUCAAUUGCCGCCGGCCAGGCC
rnacentral:tRNA from 1 species